AAUGUGUGUGUGUAUACUUGUGUAUGCAGUAAGAGUUUAAUAAGUACACAGUAUCUAUUUUGUUUUUCAGGGGUGCUGGUGUGACAGACACAGUGUGCUCGGCCAAGGAUUUGCAAAGAAGAACAUCAUUGCUGGCCUUGGGAGCUCCCUGCAGAAGGGGGUACUAGAGUCUGAGGGAUGGGGGCCGGCAGGGUGAGAGAAACUGCUUUCCACUCCCUGUGUGUUUCUGUGAUGGCGAUGUGUCAGAGAAGGCUGCAGUGGGGUUGGGGGGGGGAUGAACCAAGUCUUGGGGACACUUGGAGCUGGCAGGGUACAGUUCUGAGUUCUCUGGGUGUGCACUGGGAAUUAGGCCCUGCCUGUACCACUUAGUUAAAAGCAAGGAGGUUAAAACUCUCCACCUUCCAGCUGGAGGAACAGUCCAGAGGUUGUCAACCCUGACUGUUCUUCCAGAGCACCCAGUUUCAAAUUCCAGCACCCAACAUGGCAGCUCGAAACUGUCUGUAACUUCAAGAUCUGACACCUCCACACAGACAGGCAUGCAGUCAAAACACCAGUGCACAUAAGAUGGAAAUAAACAAAUUAUUUUAAAAAACAAAAACAAACCCUGUACCUUCAAGAGGGCAUCAGAUGUGCUGGGAGUGCUGAGGUAAGGCUAAGGAAGACCCAACCCCAUAGCCAUUCUUCCAUAGAAGCCAGAAGUCCCUGACAAGGGGGCAUCUGGUCACAGUCCCCUGUCUAUGUGACACGUGUGACAGGAAGGAUGAUGUGUCUCUGCCUGUCACUGUGGGCCUGACCCUCACUCACACUGUUGGGAAUCUGGGGUAGAAGUCUCUUCAGAAGUCACACACCCCAACCCAUCCCUCGGAAAUUAAAUGGCAGGUUGGGCUUUCCUCUCUAGGCACCAGAGCACUGGAGUUAAUCUGCAUCUGAGCAUCACGACUCAACAAAUCGCCUUCUGCAUUUGUUUUAUUGUAGACUGGUGAUUAUAAUAAAAUUAGUUCUAGUCCACAUUAGUGGCUCAUAAUUUGAACUUCAUGAACAAAACUGAUACAAUCUCGCUGAGCCUUCUGUGGCUGAGCAACUCAACUGAGUGCAUAGCUCCUCUUCCUCUCCCUCCUCCCUCCC
rnacentral:lncRNA from 1 species